UGGGGAAUAUUGCACAAUGGGCGAAAGCCUGAUGCAGCGACGCCGCGUGAGGGAUGAAGGCCUUCGGGUUGUAAACCUCUUUCAGCAGGGAAGAAGCGCAAGUGACGGUACCUGCAGAAGAAGCGCCGGCUAACUACGUGCCAGCAGCCGCGGUAAUACGUAGGGCGCAAGCGUUGUCCGGAAUUAUUGGGCGUAAAGAGCUCGUAGGCGGUUUGUCGCGUCUGGUGUGAAAACUCGAGGCUCAACCUCGAGCUUGCAUCGGGUACGGGCAGACUAGAGUGCGGUAGGGGAGACUGGAAAUUCCUGGUGUAGCGGUGGAAUGCGCAGAUAUCAGGAGGAACACCGAUGGCGAAGGCAGGUCUCUGGGCCGCAACUGACGCUGAGGAGCGAAAGCAUGGGGAGCGAACA
rnacentral:rRNA from 1 species